AGAGAAGCAAGAAGCUCCCUACGUUGCAUGUGGGUAAAAUCGAGGCAGAGAAGAGCAUGCACAGAGGACAGACAGCUUCUCCCGCAGUUGCCUGGGGAGGACUCCUAGAGGAGUGGUUUCCGAAUGUUUGGAGCAGUAAACUGCCAGUAGCCUUCAAAUUUUCUGUGGACCACAGACUUAUGCAUGGAUCAGAUUCUGCAACUGCAUUCAUGACUGGAACACUCUUAAGAGUCCCUUUGCCUCCAGGACCCACUGCAGUGAAGUAUCGCAGGUAAACUCCUAUGAAAAAAAGUUAAAUUGAUAAUCCACCCAUCGCUUCUAGAACGGAACAGGCUGAGAAUGGCAAAUAGAACUGAGUAUGAGUGUGGCAUAAGUGAAGGAAUGAUGAAACUUAAGCAAAUAUUUGAUGGAAGUCGUUAUAGUAUUUAAAUGACUCUAUUAGAAAAUGUGGUAGUACUCAUAUAAUUGAUUUUUUUAUACAUAUUUCUGGCUGAUAACUAAUCCCGCAGCACCUUAGACCCUGACACACAAAUGUUAAGCUUGUUUGUAGUCUUCUAAAUACCUCCCUUAUGAAAUAAAGAUACUCUUAUGCUUGAAGACUCCCCUCUU
rnacentral:lncRNA from 1 species